UACAGAGGCCUCGAGCGUUAGGCGGAAUCACUGGGCUUAAAGCGUGUGUAGGCGGACUUCUAAGUGCCUUGUGAAAUCCCACGGCUCACCCGUGGAACUGCUGGGCAUACUGGGAGUCUUGAGCCACCUAGGGGCGAGCGGAACAAAUGGUGGAGCGGUGAAAUGCGUAGAUAUCAUUUGGAACGCCAAUGGUGAAAACAGGUAGCUGGGGAUGUGCUGACGCUGAGACACGAAAGCCAGGGGAGCAAACGGG
rnacentral:rRNA from 1 species